rnacentral:misc_RNA from 1 species
GAUGAAGAACGCAGCGAAAUGCGAUACGUAAUGUGAAUUGCAAAUUCAGUGAAUCAUCGAAUCUUUGAACGCACAUUGCGCCCGCCAGUAUUCUGGCGGGCAUGCCUGUUCGAGCGUCAUUACAACCCUCAGGCCCCCGGGCCUGGCGUUGGGGAUCGGCGGAAGCCCCCUGUGGGCACACGCCGUCCCUCAAAUACAGUGGCGGUCCCGCCGCAGCUUCCAUUGCGUAGUAGCUAACACCUCGCAACUGGAGAGCGGCGCGGCCAUGCCGUAAAACACCCAACUUCUGAAUGUUGACCUCGAAUCAGGUAGGAAUACCCGCUGAACUUAAGCAUAUCAAUAAGCGGAGGA